rnacentral:rRNA from 1 species
GAUGAACGCUCGCUACAGGCUUAACACAUGCAAGUCGAGGGGAAACGCCAUCGAAAGCUUGCUUUUGAUGGGCGUCGACCGGCGCACGGGUGAGUAACGCGUAUCCAACCUGCCCAUCACUUGGGAAUAACCUUGCGAAAGUAAGACUAAUACCCAAUGACAUCCCACGAAGACAUCUGAAUGGGAUUAAAGAUUUAUCGGUGAUGGAUGGGGAUGCGUCUGAUUAGCUUGUUGGCGGGGUAACGGCCCACCAAGGCAACGAUCAGUAGGGGUUCUGAGAGGAAGGUCCCCCACAUUGGAACUGAGACACGGGCCAAACUCCUACGGGAGGCAGCAGUGAGGAAUAGUGGUCAAUGGGCGAGAGCCUGAACCAGCCAAGUAGCGUGCAGGAUGACGGCCCUAUGGGUUGUAAACUGCUUUUAUAAGGGAAUAAAGUGGGUCUCGUGAGACUUUUUGCAUGUACCUUAUGAAUAAGGACCGGCUAAUUCCGUG